rnacentral:rRNA from 1 species
UACGUAGGGUGCGAGCGUUGUCCGGAAUUACUGGGCGUAAAGAGCUCGUAGGCGGCUUGUCGCGUCGAAUGUGAAAACUCGGGGCUCAACUCCGAGCUUGCAUUCGAUACGGGCAGGCUAGAGUUCGGUAGGGGAGGACUGGAAUUCCUGGUGUAGCGGUGAAAUGCGCAGAUAUCAGGAGGAACACCGGUGGCGAAGACGGGUCUCUGGGCCGAUACUGACGCUGAGGAGCGAAAGCGUGGGGAGCGAACAGG